rnacentral:rRNA from 1 species
UUAAGCGACUAAGCGUACACGGUGGAUGCCCUGGCAGUCAGAGGCGAUGAAGGACGUGCUAAUCUGCGAUAAGCGUCGGUGAGGUGAUAUGAACCGUUAUAACCGGCGAUUUCCGAAUGGGGAAACCCAGUGUGUUUCGACACACUAUCAUUAACUGAAUCCAUAGGUUAAUGAGGCGAACCGGGGGAACUGAAACAUCUAAGUACCCCGAGGAAAAGAAAUCAACCGAGAUUCCCCCAGUAGCGGCGAGCGAACGGGGAGGAGCCCAGAGCCUGAAUCAGUGUGUGUGUUAGUGGAAGCGUCUGGAAAGGCGCGCGAUACAGGGUGACAGCCCCGUACACAAAAAUGCACAUAUUGUGAGCUCGAUGAGUAGGGCGGGACACGUGGUAUCCUGUCUGAAUAUGGGGGGACCAUCCUCCAAGGCUAAAUACUCCUGACUGACCGAUAGUGAACCAGUACCGUGAGGGAAAGGCGAAAAGAACCCCGGCGAGGGGAGUGAAAAAGAACCUGAAACCGUGUACGUACAAGCAGUGGGAGCCUCUUAAUGGGGUGACUGCGUACCUUUUGUAUAAUGGGUCAGCGACUUAUAUUCUGUAGCAAGGUUAACCGAAUAGGGGAGCCGAAGGGAAACCGAGUCUUAACUGGGCGUUAAGUUGCAGGGUAUAGACCCGAAACCCGGUGAUCUAGCCAUGGGCAGGUUGAAGGUUGGGUAACACUAACUGGAGGACCGAACCGACUAAUGUUGAAAAAUUAGCGGAUGACUUGUGGCUGGGGGUGAAAGGCCAAUCAAACCGGGAGAUAGCUGGUUCUCCCCGAAAGCUAUUUAGGUAGCGCCUCGUGAAUUCAUCUCCGGGGGUAGAGCACUGUUUCGGCAAGGGGGUCAUCCCGACUUACCAACCCGAUGCAAACUGCGAAUACCGGAGAAUGUUAUCACGGGAGACACACGGCGGGUGCUAACGUCCGUCGUGAAGAGGGAAACAACCCAGACCGCCAGCUAAGGUCCCAAAGUCAUGGUUAAGUGGGAAACGAUGUGGGAAGGCCCAGACAGCCAGGAUGUUGGCUUAGAAGCAGCCAUCAUUUAAAGAAAGCGUAAUAGCUCACUGGUCGAGUCGGCCUGCGCGGAAGAUGUAACGGGGCUAAACCAUGCACCGAAGCUGCGGCAGCGACACUAUGUGUUGUUGGGUAGGGGAGCGUUCUGUAAGCCUGUGAAGGUGGCCUGUGAGGGUUGCUGGAGGUAUCAGAAGUGCGAAUGCUGACAUAAGUAACGAUAAAGCGGGUGAAAAGCCCGCUCGCCGGAAGACCAAGGGUUCCUGUCCAACGUUAAUCGGGGCAGGGUGAGUCGACCCCUAAGGCGAGGCCGAAAGGCGUAGUCGAUGGGAAACAGGUUAAUAUUCCUGUACUUGGUGUUACUGCGAAGGGGGGGCGGAGAAGGCUAUGUUGGCCGGGCGACGGUUGUCCCGGUUUAAGCGUGUAGGCUGGUUUUCCAGGCAAAUCCGGAAAACCAAGGCUGAGGCGUGAUGACGAGGCACUACGGUGCUGAAGCGACAAAUGCCCUGCUUCCAGGAAAAGCCUCUAAGCAUCAGGUAACAUCAAAUCGUACCCCAAACCGACACAGGUGGUCAGGUAGAGAAUACCAAGGCGCUUGAGAGAACUCGGGUGAAGGAACUAGGCAAAAUGGUGCCGUAACUUCGGGAGAAGGCACGCUGAUAUGUAGGUGAAGCGACUUGCUCGUGGAGCUGAAAUCAGUCGAAGAUACCAGCUGGCUGCAACUGUUUAUUAAAAACACAGCACUGUGCAAACACGAAAGUGGACGUAUACGGUGUGACGCCUGCCCGGUGCCGGAAGGUUAAUUGAUGGGGUUAGCGGCAACGCGAAGCUCUUGAUCGAAGCCCCGGUAAACGGCGGCCGUAACUAUAACGGUCCUAAGGUAGCGAAAUUCCUUGUCGGGUAAGUUCCGACCUGCACGAAUGGCGUAAUGAUGGCCAGGCUGUCUCCACCCGAGACUCAGUGAAAUUGAACUCGCUGUGAAGAUGCAGUGUACCCGCGGCAAGACGGAAAGACCCCGUGAACCUUUACUAUAGCUUGACACUGAACAUUGAGCCUUGAUGUGUAGGAUAGGUGGGAGGCUUUGAAGUGUGGACGCCAGUCUGCAUGGAGCCGACCUUGAAAUACCACCCUUUAAUGUUUGAUGUUCUAACGUUGGCCCGUAAUCCGGGUUGCGGACAGUGUCUGGUGGGUAGUUUGACUGGGGCGGUCUCCUCCUAAAGAGUAACGGAGGAGCACGAAGGUUGGCUAAUCCUGGUCGGACAUCAGGAGGUUAGUGCAAUGGCAUAAGCCAGCUU